rnacentral:rRNA from 1 species
UACGUAGGGGGCGAGCGUUGUCCGGAGUUACUGGGCGUAAAGCGCACGCAGGCGGUCUGCUAAGUUUGGAGUGACAGUUGGUGGCUUAACUGCCAAAGUGCUUCGAAAACUGACAGACUUGAGGGCUUCAGAGGGACACGGAAUUCCGGGUGGAGCGGUGAAAUGCGUAGAGAUCCGGAAGAACACCAGUGGCGAAGGCGGCCCGCUGGGCAGUGGCUGACGCUGAGGCGCGACAGCGUGGGGAGCAAACAGG